rnacentral:tRNA from 1 species
GGGGGUGUAGCUCAGUGGUAGAGUACUUGCCUACCAUGUGCAAGCCCUGGAUUCAAUUCCCAGCACUGUGA